rnacentral:rRNA from 1 species
UACAGAGGAUGCAAGCGUUGUCCGGAAUUAUUGGGCGUAAAGAGCUCGUAGGCGGUUUGUCGCGUCUGCUGUGAAAACUCGGGGCUUAACCCCGGGCCUGCAGUGGGUACGGGCAGACUAGAGUGCGGUAGGGGAGACUGGAAUUCCUGGUGUAGCGGUGAAAUGCGCAGAUAUCAGGAGGAACACCGGUGGCGAAGGCGGGUCUCUGGGCAGUAACUGACGCUGAGGAGCGAAAGCGUGGGGAGCGAACAGG